UACGUAGGGGGCAAGCGUUGUCCGGAUUUAUUGGGCGUAAAGAGCUCGUAGGUGGUUCGGUAAGUCGGAUGUGAAAUCUCCAGGCUCAACCUGGAGGGGUCAUUCGAUACUGCCGUGACUAGAGUUCGGUAGGGGAGUGUGGAAUUCCUGGUGGAGCGGUGAAAUGCGCAGAUACCAGGAGGAACACCUGUGGUGUAGACAGCUUACUGGACCAUCACUGACGCUGAAACACGAAAGCGUGGGUAGCAAACAGG
rnacentral:rRNA from 1 species